rnacentral:rRNA from 1 species
UACAGAGGUGCCAAGCGUUAGGCGGAAUCACUGGGCUUAAAGCGCGUGUAGGUGGACGGGUAAGUCUCUUUUGAAAUCCCACGGCUCAACCGUGGAACUGCUGGAUAUACUGCUUGUCUUGAGGCAUUCAGGGGCAACCGGAACAAAUGGUGGAGCGGUGAAAUGCGUAGAUAUCAUUUGGAACGCCUAUGGUGAAAACAGGUUGCUGGGGAUGUUCUGACACUGAGACGCGAAAGCCAGGGGAGCAAACGGG